GACGAACGCUGGCGGCGUGCUUAACACAUGCAAGUCGAACGAAGUGGCGAACGGGUGAGUAAAGCGUAAUCAACCUGCCCUUCAGAGGGGGCCAACAGUUGGAAACGACUGCUAAUACCGCAUACGGAAGGAGGGGAUUGAGUCUGAUUAGCUAGUUGGAGGGGUAACGGCCUACCAAGGCGAGGAUCAGUAGCCGGUCUGAUAGGUGGAACGGGCACAUUUGGACUGAGACACGGCCCAGACUCCUACGUGAGGCAGCCGUGGGGAAUCUUCCGCAAUGGAGGAAAGUCUGACGGAGCAACUCCGCGUGAGGGAUGACGGCCUUCGGGUUGUAAAGCUUUUUUAAUCGGGACGCGGUACCGGAAUAGAAAGCCACGGCUAACUACGUGCCAGCAGCCGCGGUAAUAC
rnacentral:rRNA from 1 species